rnacentral:rRNA from 1 species
AAAUUGAAGAGUUUGAUCAUGGCUCAGAUUGAACGCUGGCGGCAGGCCUAACACAUGCAAGUCGAGCGGUAGCACAGAGAGCUUGCUCUCGGGUGACGAGCGGCGGACGGGUGAGUAAUGUCUGGGAAGCUGCCUGAUGGAGGGGGAUAACUACUGGAAACGGUAGCUAAUACCGCAUAAUGUCGCAAGACCAAAGUGGGGGACCUUCGGGCCUCAUGCCAUCAGAUGUGCCCAGAUGGGAUUAGCUAGUAGGUGGGGUAACGGCUCACCUAGGCGACGAUCCCUAGCUGGUCUGAGAGGAUGACCAGCCACACUGGAACUGAGACACGGUCCAGACUCCUACGGGAGGCAGCAGUGGGGAAUAUUGCACAAUGGGCGCAAGCCUGAUGCAGCCAUGCCGCGUGUGUGAAGAAGGCCUUCGGGUUGUAAAGCACUUUCAGCGGGGAGGAAGGCGGUGAGGUUAAUAACCUCAUCGAUUGACGUUACCCGCAGAAGAAGCACCGGCUAACUCCGUGCCAGCAGCCGCGGUAAUACGGAGGGUGCAAGCGUUAAUCGGAAUUACUGGGCGUAAAGCGCACGCAGGCGGUCUGUCAAGUCGGAUGUGAAAUCCCCGGGCUCAACCUGGGAACUGCAUUCGAAACUGGCAGGCUAGAGUCUUGUAGAGGGGGGUAGAAUUCCAGGUGUAGCGGUGAAAUGCGUAGAGAUCUGGAGGAAUACCGGUGGCGAAGGCGGCCCCCUGGACAAAGACUGACGCUCAGGUGCGAAAGCGUGGGGAGCAAACAGGAUUAGAUACCCUGGUAGUCCACGCCGUAAACGAUGUCGAUUUGGAGGUUGUGCCCUUGAGGCGUGGCUUCCGGAGCUAACGCGUUAAAUCGACCGCCUGGGGAGUACGGCCGCAAGGUUAAAACUCAAAUGAAUUGACGGGGGCCCGCACAAGCGGUGGAGCAUGUGGUUUAAUUCGAUGCAACGCGAAGAACCUUACCUGGUCUUGACAUCCACAGAACUUUCCAGAGAUGGAUUGGUGCCUUCGGGAACUGUGAGACAGGUGCUGCAUGGCUGUCGUCAGCUCGUGUUGUGAAAUGUUGGGUUAAGUCCCGCAACGAGCGCAACCCUUAUCCUUUGUUGCCAGCGGUUAGGCCGGGAACUCAAAGGAGACUGCCAGUGAUAAACUGGAGGAAGGUGGGGAUGACGUCAAGUCAUCAUGGCCCUUACGACCAGGGCUACACACGUGCUACAAUGGCAUAUACAAAGAGAAGCGACCUCGCGAGAGCAAGCGGACCUCAUAAAGUAUGUCGUAGUCCGGAUUGGAGUCUGCAACUCGACUCCAUGAAGUCGGAAUCGCUAGUAAUCGUAGAUCAGAAUGCUACGGUGAAUACGUUCCCGGGCCUUGUACACACCGCCCGUCACACCAUGGGAGUGGGUUGCAAAAGAAGUAGGUAGCUUAACCUUCGGGAGGGCGCUUACCACUUUGUGAUUCAUGACUGGGGUGAAGUCGUAACAAGGUAACCGUAGGGGAACCUGCGGUUGGAUCACCUCCUUA